rnacentral:lncRNA from 1 species
UUUUUGGAGGGUUUCCUCGUAGAUGAGGUUUAAUCCACUGCCGCCAUCCAUGAGUACCUUGGUGAGACGAAAGCCGUCCACUAUCGAACUGAGGACCAAUGCGGCUGGUGCUCGGGUUGUUCGGAAUUUAGGUUCGUCGCCGGCAUUGAAGGUGAUAGCCGUGUCACUCCAAGGAUUUGCUGUUGCUACUUGGUAGACUUCGGCGAGGUUGCGGAUUGUUCGUUUCCGCAUAUUAUUUGAUGCGAAAGUCUCGAAUACUGUUAAUACCGUACUGGUAUUGUUGGGCUGGUUACCCGGGGCUAGAAAACCUUCGCCACCUUUGGCCACCUGCCGUAGUAUCCAACAUGCUCGAAGGCUAUGUGUUGGAGUGGCGCCCUCUGUAUUAUGGAUUUUACAGGGUCCGUUGAGCCAUCCCUCCAGUGCGGUUCCGUGCCCUUUAGGGGGUUUUUGCUUUUUGGUUUUUAACCCAGGUGCUUGAGUAUGACGCACCCUUUUAUUUCGAACUAGGGUUGUGUUCAGGGCCGGAUUGUCCCAAAACCUGGUUUCGGUUUUCCAGGCACUCUCCAUCGCACAGUAUUUUUGUACUAUGGUCGCCAGGUCGGCGAAGCGUGUAACUUCACGACGACUUAUGGCAUUCAUGAUUCCCUUGUCCGUGCAAUUGUUGCAGAAAAUUGAGAUUGCGCUUUCCUCACGGCAGUCCUUUAUCAUGUCCAUAACCAAGAGGAAUCUGGCCCAGUAAUGAUGUACUGUUUCAUCGGGCUCUUGCCGUAUUCGAGAUAGAUCGCUUAUGUUUGGGUGGGCGGGCGGAAUUAAAUUCGGAACCCUGCCCAAUCUGAGGCUCAAAGGCCGAGAGGUUUCCGGAUUUGGAAGCUUGGAUUGUUGGAUGUUAUCCAACGGAUCUGGUCCGAUGCCUGACUUUAGGUUCGGUACUUGAUUGACGUUCGUCCCUUCGCGGGAAUCCGGCAUGGAGGGAUCGAGAAUCCGGACAUAACUAGUUUUUAACAUAGAAGAAGAGUCGACGCGUUGUUCCUCUACCACAACAACGUGGUGGGUAGCCUGGGGAGAGUUAAUUUCUCUCAGAUCGGUUUUAAGCCCAAUCUGAUCGUGGUCUGUAGCGACUCCCAGGGCGGCGAUGCGAUCCAAGAGCUCAUUUACAAAGGAGAGCUCCGUCGGAUCUAGCUGCUCGGCGAAUUCUGAGUUGACGUGAAGAUCGCUUUAGAUGACCUGAGAGGUCAUUGUUGGAGCGGUGGCCGAACUGGCGGUCAUAAGAAAAUCGCCCAGCCGGAUAGUUUGGCCGGUGGCCAAAGCUCCCUUGAUGACGGCGCCGUCUUUAAAGACGGGAAAAGGCAUCCCUCCUGAUUGCGGUGUCAAAACCGGCGGAUCUCGGGUAGGGGGUCCCGAACUGUGCGUCUAGGCAGAUGGUAACAGGAGACAAGGGACACAAUGUUUUACCCAGGUUCGGGCCCUCUUGAUGGAGGUAAAACCCUACGUCCUGCUUGAUUGAUAUUGAUGAUGUGGGUAUUACAAGAGUAGAUCUACCACGAGAUCAAGGAGGCUAAACCCUAGAAGCUAGCCUAUGGUAUGAUUGUUGUUCGUCCUACGGACUAAAGCCAUCCAGUUUAUAUAGACACCGGAGAGGGCUAGGGUUACACAGAGUCGGUUACAAUGGUAGGAGAUCUACAUAUCCGUAUCGCCAAGCUUGCCAUCCACGCCAAGGAAAGUCACAUCCGGACACGGAACGAAGUCUUCAAUCUUGUAUCUUCAUAGUCUUGGAGUCCGGCCAACGAUGAUAGUUCGGCUGUCCGGACACCCCCUAGUCCGGGACUCCCUCACCGGGCGUAGCCACACUCAGUUCAACUAAAGUGAGAGAGACAGACACCCGCCGAUCACCUUUAAGCAACUAGUGCUCGUGGCGGUGAAACCAGUCUCGCGUAAGCGUACGCGUAAUGUCGGUCCGGGCCGCUUCAUCUCACAAUGCCGCUGAACCAAAAUAUGACAUGCUGGUAAGCAGUAUGACUUAUAUCGCCCACAACUCACUUGUGUUCUACUCAUGCAUAUGACAUCUACGCAUAAAACCUGGCUCGGAUACCACUGUUGGGGAACAUAGUAAUUUCAAAAAAAUUCCUACGCACACGCAAGAUCAUGGUGAUGCAUAGCAAUGAGAGGGGAGAGUGAUGUCUACGUACCCUCGUAGACCGUAAGCAGAAGCAUUACCACAACGCGGUUGAUGUAGUCGUACGUCUUCACGAUCCGACCGAUCAAGUACCGUACGUACGGCACCUCCGAGUUCAGCACACGUUCAGCCCGAUGAUGUCCCUCGAACUCCGAUCCAGCCGAGUGUUGAGGGAGAGUUUCGUCAGCACGACAGCGUGGUGACGAUGUUGAUGUUCUACCGACGCAGGGCUUCGCCUAAGCACCGCUAUAGUAUUAUCGAGGUGGACUAUGGUGGAGGGGGGCACCGCACACGGCUAAGAGAUCAAUGAUCAAUUGUUGUGUCUCUGGGGUGCCCCCCGCCCCCGUAUAUAAAGGAGCAAGGGGGGUGCGGCUGGCCAGGAGGAGUCCUACUCCCACCGGGAGUAGGACUCCCCCCCCCCCUUUUCCAUGUUGGACUAGGACUUGGGGGGGAAGGAGAGAGGGAGGGGAAAGGAAAGGGGGGCGCCCUCCUCCCUGUCCAAUUCGGACUUGGGGGGGGAGGGGCGCGUGGCUGCCCCUUGGCCUCCUCUCCUCUUCCUCCACUAGGCCCAUUAAGGCCCAUUAAGUUACCGGGGGGUUCCGGUAACCUCCCGGUACUCCGGUAAAAGGCCGAUUUCACCCGGAACACUUCUGAUGUCCAAACAUAGGCUUCCAAUAUAUCAAUCUUCAUGUCUCGACCAUUUUGAGACUCCUCGUCAUGUCCGUGAUCACAUCCGGGACUCCGAACAACCUUUGGUACAUCAAAACACAUAAACUCAUAAUAUAAUUGUCAUCGUAACGUUAAGCGUGCGGACCCUACGGGUUCGAGAACUAUGUAGACAUGACCGAGACACGUCUCCGGUCAAUAACCAAUAGCGGAACCUAGGUGCUCAUAUUGGCUCCCACAUAUUCUACGAAGAUCUUUAUCGGUCAGACCGCAUAACAACAUACGUUGUUCCCUUUGUCAUCGGUAUGUUACUUGCCCGAGAUUCGAUCGUCGGUAUCUCAAUACCUAGUUCAAUCUCGUUACCGGCAAGUCUCUUUACUCGUUUCGUAAUACAUCAUCCCGCAACUAACUCAUUAGUUGCAAUGCUUGCAAGGCUUAAGUGAUGUGUAUUACCGAGAGGGCCCAGAGAUACCUCUUCGACAAUCAUAGUGACAAAUCCUAAUCUCGAAAUACGCCAACCCAACAUGUACCUUUGGAGACACCUGUAGAGCACCUUUAUAAUCACCCAGUUACGUUGUGACGUUUGGUAGCACACAAAGUGUUCCUCCGGUAAACGGAAGUUGCAUAAUCUCAUAGUCAUAGGAACACGUAUAAGUCAUGAAGAAAGCAACAACAACAUACUAAACGAUCAAGUGCUAAGCUAACGAAAUGGGUCAAGUCAAUCACAUCAUUCUCCUAAUGAUAUGAUCCCGUUAAUCAAAUGACAACUCUUUGUCCAUGGCUAGGAAACAUAACCAUCUUUGAUUAAUGAGCUAGUCAAGUAGAGGCAUACUAGUGACACUCUGUUUGUCUAUGUAUUCACACAUGUAUUAUGUUUCCGAUUAAUACAAUUCUAGCAUGAAUAAUAAACAUUUAUCAUGAUAUAAGGAAAUAAAUAAUAACUUUAUUAUUGCCUCUAGGGCAUAUUUCCUUCAGUCUCCCACUUGCACUAGAGUCAAUAAUCUAGUUCACAUCACCAUGUGAUUNNNNNNNNNNNNNNNNNNNNNNNNNNNNNNNNNNNNNNNNNNNNNNNNNNNNNNNNNNNNNNNNNNNNNNNNNNNNNNNNNNNNNNNNNNNNNNNNNNNNNNNNNNNNNNNNNNNNNNNNNNNNNNNNNNNNNNNNNNNNNNNNNNNNNNNNNNNNNNNNNNNNNNNNNNNNNNNNNNNNNNNNNNNNNNNNNNNNNNNNNNNNNNNNNNNNNNNNNNNNNNNNNNNNNNNNNNNNNNNNNNNCACUCAAUGUUGAGCCUGGACGGCUAUUGCGUCUUGAAGUGGCUCCACAUCGCCGCCUGGGUUGGAUCCGAUGACUCCGCCUCCUGGAUAGCCCAGAAGAUCAUAUCCAGAUUCAGGUAGCCCUCGUGCCCGACAAACCGCACCCGUUGCUCGUAUAUCAAGUAGCGGAUGUUGUAAGGCAGACAUCCAUCCACGCCGCUGGGUCGGGGAACUUGCCCCUCACCACGCACUCCAUCUCCGCCCACGCCUCCGACAACGCCGCAUCGAUCACCAGCGGUGGAGGUGGUAGAUCUGGAACCCGAGCUGGGCCCGCUGCCAUUGAUGCUGGGGGGGGGGGCACCCUCAUGAGACGAAUCCCGUGGCCAGACCUCCCUGCCAUCACCUCCAAAUCUCCGUACGCCGAAGUUCUUUUCCAACCGGGCUCUCGGCCCUUUUCAUUAAGGACUUGACGGAAUAUUCGGUACAGGUCUCCUGACAACAAUCGGCAACAAUUAAAAGCAGAGAAGGGGGCGGGAAAGGGGAUAGGCGAGCUGGGGCUGCAGAGGUGCGAUGUCCAAACAUGUGCCGUGGGGCAAAAACCUGUUAGCACCAACAACCAAUACGCCGAAGUUCUUAUUGUUUCCCGCAAGAGAUUACACCUGAGAGCGUCUUGCAUAUAACCCUGUUCCGCAAAAUUGUUGCAAAACGAACCUGCAUAAAAUUGUAUCGUCACUUGGUUGGCUCUCCUCUCCUCCCCAGAGGGACAAGAUUGGAAUCUAGUGUCAGCCACGCCACCCACGCCACAAAAUUAGAGCAGCCCAUCACCGUGCAGAUUUCGCGUCCCGGCCGGAUGACUUCCAUUUUUAUCUUCUCCGCUGUACAAGGGGAUGGGUGCUGGUGGAAUGUCUGUCCUGUCCUCUUCCCUCCCUCCCUCACUCUCACCCGAAGAGGGGAGGAACAUGGCCGGCAGGCGGCACCACCGCUGGGUUGGGUCAGAUAAAUGAAUAGAUCCAAUCUGGCUCGCAUUUUUCUCUCGCCGCGGCAACAUGGCCCUGCUGCUGCUGCCGGUCUCUCCCUUCACCGUUGAGAUCCCUGCACCUGAGACGGGAUGGGUAGGUAGGAUAGACUAUGCCGUUUCUGCGCUUCAGUUGAGCGAGUUGCUAGUUUCCAAUGUAGGCCAUGUGGGAACAGCGCGAUACCAAUUCUGUCCCGGCGUGCACGCAUGUGCUCGAUCUGCAUGCAUGACACGACUCCCUGCUGAGCAUAUGCGCCCAAAUCACCUGGGGAAAACGAUGGAUGCCAUGAUGGGGUUUGUGGAGAGCUGCUAAACUGUCGUUUUUCAGGGCCUUUUUGGUUUUCACAAGAACGUAGAAGAAGAAAUAGAAUAAUAAGAUUAUUUUCUUCCAUGACACUAGUCGUUCAUUUCGAUUCAAAAGAAUGAGAUUUUACAAUCAACUCAAAUCCCCAUUUGCAUUCCUAUGCACAAACAAGGCAAACUGACAUUGCUGAAAUAGCAACAACAACCUAAUCUGACCAUGUUCGUUUAGGAUUCCAUGUCUGACUUCAUAAUCCUCUGGUUAGUCCUACAGCUCGAGAAACCAGUACUGAGACUUACAUUAAACUAUGACUGGAUAAUGCCACGUUUCCGGCUGCUAUGUAUAUCCUCUAACCUUAAAAACAUAAUAAGGAAGCUAGGCUUGUUCAAUCAGGGAGGGAAAGAAAUGGCCUGAGGAAUUAAGAUGAUACUUCCUUGCACUGUACAAGGAGAUCACUGACAUACAUGCCCAUGAUUCCGGCGUCCUGUACAGAUUCAUGUAUCCUGUAUAAACUCGAGGGCGCAGGUACACACCAAAAAAAGCACUCCCUCCUAAUUUCAACUUGACAUUCUGGCUGAUCUGGGGUAUCCUAAGGCUAAUGGGAAAGAACAAAAGGGGGGCCAUGGCCUCCACAGGAAGGAAUGUUACCAAAAAACAUGUGCAGAGUCUACAGAGGUGAGCAUGUACACAAAAUGGCA